rnacentral:rRNA from 1 species
UUAACUGUGAGCGUGCGGGCGAUACGGGCAGACUUGAGUACUGCAGGGGAGACUGGAAUUCCUGGUGUAGCGGUGGAAUGCGCAGAUAUCAGGAGGAACACCGGUGGCGAAGGCGGGUCUCUGGGCAGUAACUGACGCUGAGGAGCGAAAGCGUGGGGAGCGAACAGGAUUAGAUACCCUGGUAGUCCACGCCGUAAACGGUGGGUACUAGGUGUGGGUUUCCUUCCUUGGGAUCCGUGCCGUAGCUAACGCAUUAAGUACCCCGCCUGGGGAGUACGGCCGCAAGGCUAAAACUCAAAGAAAUUGACGGGGGCCCGCACAAGCGGCGGAGCAUGUGGAUUAAUUCGAUGCAACGCGAAGAACCUUACCUGGGUUUGACAUGCACAGGACGCCGGCAGAGAUGUCGGUUCCCUUGUGGCCUGUGUGCAGGUGGUGCAUGGCUGUCGUCAGCUCGUGUCGUGAGAUGUUGGGUUAAGUCCCGCAACGAGCGCAACCCUUGUCUCAUGUUGCCAGCGGGUAAUGCCGGGGACUCGUGAGAGACUGCCGGGGUCAACUCGGAGGAAGGUGGGGAUGACGUCAAGUCAUCAUGCCCCUUAUGUCCAGGGCUUCACACAUGCUACAAUGGCCGGUACGAAGGGCUGCGAUGCCGCGAGGUUAAGCGAAUCCUUUUAAAGCCGGUCUCAGUUCGGAUCG